rnacentral:tRNA from 1 species
GCCUGGCAGGCUUAGUCGAUAGGGCAUGUGACUCUUGAUCUCAGGGUUGUGAGUUCAAGCCCCAUGUUGGGCG